rnacentral:sRNA from 1 species
CUGGGAGCCGUGUUAACCGGACGCGACAGGGAUGGUGAACGCAGCGGCUUUUUCCCGUUUCACCCUGCGGCCAACGAAAUGGCAGUCGAGCAUCCAACCUGUCCGGCUC